CGGCAGGCUUAACACAUGCAAGUCGAACGAACUCUUCGGAGUGAGUGGCGCACGGGUGAGUAAUAUAUGGGAACGUACCGUUUAGUUCGGAAUAACUAUUGGAAACGAUAGCUAAUACCGGAUACGCCCUACGGGGGAAAGAUUUAUCGCUAAACGAUCGGCCCAUACCAGAUUAGCUUGUUGGUGAGGUAAGAGCUCACCAAGGCUACGAUCUGUAGCGGGUCUGAGAGGAUGAUCCGCCACACUGGAACUGAGACACGGUCCAGACUCC
rnacentral:rRNA from 1 species